rnacentral:rRNA from 1 species
UUGUUGGGUAGGGGAGCGUUCUGUAAGCCUGUGAAGGUGUGUCGUGAGGCAUGCUGGAGGUAUCAGAAGUGCGAAUGCUGACAUAAGUAACGAUAAAGCGGGUGAAAAGCCCGCUCGCCGGAAGACCAAGGGUUCCUGUCCAACGUUAAUCGGGGCAGGGUGAGUCGACCCCUAAGGCGAGGCCGAAAGGCGUAGUCGAUGGGAAACGGGUUAAUAUUCCCGUACUUGGUGUUACUGCGAAGGGGGGACGGAGAAGGCUAUGUUGGCCGGGCGACGGUUGUCCCGGUUUAAGCGUGUAGGUGUGUGUUCCAGGUAAAUCCGGUUCACUUUAACACUGAGGCGUGACGACGAGGCACUACGGUGCUGAAGCAACAAAUGCCCUGCUUCCAGGAAAAGCCUCUAAGCAUCAGGUAACAUCAAAUCGUACCCCAAACCGACACAGGUGGUCAGGUAGAGAAUACCAAGGCGCUUGAGAGAACUCGGGUGAAGGAACUAGGCAAAAUGGUGCCGUAACUUCGGGAGAAGGCACGCUGACACGUAGGUGAAGUGAUUUACUCAUGGAGCUGAAGUCAGUCGAAGAUACCAGCUGGCUGCAACUGUUUAUUAAAAACACAGCACUGUGCAAACACGAAAGUGGACGUAUACGGUGUGACGCCUGCCCGGUGCCGGAAGGUUAAUUGAUGGGGUCAGCGCAAGCGAAGCUCCUGAUCGAAGCCCCGGUAAACGGCGGCCGUAACUAUAACGGUCCUAAGGUAGCGAAAUUCCUUGUCGGGUAAGUUCCGACCUGCACGAAUGGCGUAAUGAUGGCCAGGCUGUCUCCACCCGAGACUCAGUGAAAUUGAACUCGCUGUGAAGAUGCAGUGUACCCGCGGCAAGACGGAAAGACCCCGUGAACCUUUACUAUAGCUUGACACUGAACAUUGAGCCUUGAUGUGUAGGAUAGGUGGGAGGCUUUGAAGUGUGGACGCCAGUCUGCAUGGAGCCGACCUUGAAAUACCACCCUUUAAUGUUUGAUGUUCUAACGUGGACCCGUGAUCCGGGUUGCGGACAGUGUCUGGUGGGUAGUUUGACUGGGGCGGUCUCCUCCUAAAGAGUAACGGAGGAGCACGAAGGUUGGCUAAUCCUGGUCGGACAUCAGGAGGUUAGUGCAAUGGCAUAAGCCAGCUUGACUGCGAGCGUGACGGCGCGAGCAGGUGCGAAAGCAGGUCAUAGUGAUCCGGUGGUUCUGAAUGGAAGGGCCAUCGCUCAACGGAUAAAAGGUACUCCGGGGAUAACAGGCUGAUACCGCCCAAGAGUUCAUAUCGACGGCGGUGUUUGGCACCUCGAUGUCGGCUCAUCACAUCCUGGGGCUGAAGUAGGUCCCAAGGGUAUGGCUGUUCGCCAUUUAAAGUGGUACGCGAGCUGGGUUUAGAACGUCGUGAGACAGUUCGGUCCCUAUCUGCCGUGGGCGCUGGAGAACUGAGGGGGGCUGCUCCUAGUACGAGAGGACCGGAGUGGACGCAUCACUGGUGUUCGGGUUGUCAUGCCAAUGGCACUGCCCGGUAGCUAAAUGCGGAAGAGAUAAGUGCUGAAAGCAUCUAAGCACGAAACUUGCCCCGAGAUGAGUUCUCCCUGAGACUUAGAGUCUCCUGAAGGAACGUUGAAGACGACGACGUUGAUAGGCCGGGUGUGUAAGCGCAGCGAUGCGUUGAGCUAACCGGUACUAAUGAACCGUGAGGCUUAACCUU